rnacentral:rRNA from 1 species
AGAAUCAACGCUGGCGGCGUGCCUAACACAUGCAAGUCGAACGAGAAAGGGUAGCAAUACCUGAGUAAAGUGGCGCACGGGUGAGUAACACGUGACUAACCUACCUUUUAGUGGGGGAUAACCUAGGGAAACCUGGGCUAAUACCGCAUAAUACCUACGGGUCAAAACAGCAAUGCGCUGGAAGAGGGGUCGCGGCCGAUUAGCUAGUUGGCGGGUAAUGGCCCACCAAGGCAGUGAUCGGUAU